rnacentral:rRNA from 1 species
GACGCUCACGAGAAGCCUUUGUGGCCCCGCAAGGGGUACCCGCCGCGACUGUAAACAAUGGAUGUGGGUAUUAAAUCGCAAGUCAACUGGUAAAUCCGGUCGGCUACACUUUCGAAUUGCGGGGAAACCCUAAAGCCCGCCUCUACCAACCAGCCGGGGAAAUCCAGUUGGGGCCUGUGUUAACAGCACAGGGUACGGUUAUAAUGAGGUGGGAUAGUGCUGACCUUAGGUUGGUGCAGUUAUGGGCAAUCCGCAGCCAAGUCCCUAAGGCGCAACCGUGCUACGGGAAAGGUUCACAGACUAAGUGGAAGUGGGCUCGGGUUCUGAAACCUGGGCUUAAGAUAUAGUCGGGCCGUCCGCGAGAGCGGGUGGGAGUCACAAGCUGGUUGUGCUUGAACCGUUCCGUAGGUGAACCUGCGGAAGGAUCAUUA